rnacentral:tRNA from 1 species
AGUAUGUAGCUCAAUGGUAGAGUGCCUGCUUAGCAUGCAUGAGGUUCUGGGUUCCAUCCCCAAUACUG